rnacentral:rRNA from 1 species
GAUGAACGCUGGCGGCGUGCCUAAUACAUGCAAGUCGAGCGAACAGACGAGGAGCUUGCUCCUCUGACGUUAGCGGCGGACGGGUGAGUAACACGUGGAUAACCUACCUAUAAGACUGGGAUAACUUCGGGAAACCGGAGCUGAUACCGGAUAAUAUAUUGAACCGCAUGGUUCAAUAGUGAAAGACGGUUUUGCUGUCACUUAUAGAUGGAUCCGCGCCGCAUUAGCUAGUUGGUAAGGUAACGGCUUACCAAGGCAACGAUGCGUAGCCGACCUGAGAGGGUGAUCGGCCACACUGGAACUGAGACACGGUCCAGACUCCUACGGGAGGCAGCAGUAGGGAAUCUUCCGCAAUGGGCGAAGGCCUGACGGAGCAACGCCGCGUGAGUGAUGAAGGUCUUCGGAUCGUAAAACUCUGUUAUUAGGGAAGAACAAAUGUGUAAGUAACUAUGCACGUCUUGACGGUACCUAAUCAGAAAGCCACGGCUAACUACGUG